AAAUUGAAGAGUUUGAUCAUGGCUCAGAUUGAACGCUGGCGGCAGGCCUAACACAUGCAAGUCGAACGGUAACAGGAAGCAGCUUGCUGCUUCGCUGACGAGUGGCGGACGGGUGAGUAAUGUCUGGGAAACUGCCUGAUGGAGGGGGAUAACUACUGGAAACGGUGGCUAAUACCGCAUAACGUCGCAAGACCAAAGAGGGGGACCUUCGGGCCUCUUGCCAUCAGAUGUGCCCAGAUGGGAUUAGCUUGUUGGUGAGGUAACGGCUCACCAAGGCGACGAUCCCUAGCUGGUCUGAGAGGAUGACCAGCCACACUGGAACUGAGACACGGUCCAGACUCCUACGGGAGGCAGCAGUGGGGAAUAUUGCACAAUGGGCGCAAGCCUGAUGCAGCCAUGCCGCGUGUAUGAAGAAGGCCUUCGGGUUGUAAAGUACUUUCAGCGGGGAGGAAGGUGUUGCGGUUAAUAACCGCAGCAAUUGACGUUACCCGCAGAAGAAGCACCGGCUAACUCCGUGCCAGCAGCCGCGGUAAUACGGAGGGUGCAAGCGUUAAUCGGAAUUACUGGGCGUAAAGCGCACGCAGGCGGUCUGUCAAGUCGGAUGUGAAAUCCCCGGGCUCAACCUGGGAACUGCAUUCGAAACUGGCAGGCUUGAGUCUUGUAGAGGGGGGUAGAAUUCCAGGUGUAGCGGUGAAAUGCGUAGAGA
rnacentral:rRNA from 1 species